rnacentral:rRNA from 2 species
AAUCCAUAGGUUAAUGAGGCGAACCGGGGGAACUGAAACAUCUAAGUACCCCGAGGAAAAGAAAUCAACCGAGAUUCCCCCAGUAGCGGCGAGCGAACGGGGAGGAGCCCAGAGCCUGAAUCAGCAUGUGUGUUAGUGGAAGCGUCUGGAAAGGCGCGCGAUACAGGGUGACAGCCCCGUACACAAAAGCGCAUGUGCUGUGAGCUCGAUGAGUAGGGCGGGACACGUGGUAUCCUGUCUGAAUAUGGGGGGACCAUCCUCCAAGGCUAAAUACUCCUGACUGACCGAUAGUGAACCAGUACCGUGAGGGAAAGGCGAAAAGAACCCCGGCGAGGGGAGUGAAAAAGAACCUGAAACCGUGUACGUACAAGCAGUGGGAGCACCCUUUGGGUGUGACUGCGUACCUUUUGUAUAAUGGGUCAGCGACUUAUAUUCUGUAGCAAGGUUAACCGAAUAGGGGAGCCG